UUCGGGUUGAGUGGCGGACGGGUGAGUAACGCGUGAGAAUAUGCCUUGGGGUAGGGGACAACCACUGGAAACGGUGGCUAAUACCGGAUAAGCCUUUGGGUAAAAGAUUUAUUGCCCCAAGAGGAGCUCGCGUCUGAUUAGCUAGUUGGUGAGGUAAGAGCUCACCAAGGCAGCGAUCAGUAGCUGGUCUGAGAGGACGAUCAGCCACACUGGGACUGAGACACGGCCCAGACUCCUACGGGAGGCAGCAGUGGGGAAUUUUCCGCAAUGGGCGAAAGCCUGACGGAGCAAGACCGCGUGAGGGAGGAAGGCUCUUGGGUUGUAAACCUCUUUUCUCAGGGAAGAAGCUCUGACGGUACCUGAGGAAUCAGCCUCGGCUAACUCCGUGCCAGCAGCCGCGGUAAUACGGAGGAGGCAAGCGUUAUCCGGAAUUAUUGGGCGUAAAGCGUCCGCAGGUGGCGAUUCAAGUCUGCUGUCAAAGCACGGGGCUUAACUCCGUUAAGGCAGUGGAAACUGAAUAGCUAGAGUGCCGUAGGGGUAGAGGGAAUUCCCGGUGUAGCGGUGAAAUGCGUAGAGAUCGGGAAGAACAUCGGUGGAGAGAGCGCUCUACUGGACGGCAACUGACACUCAGGGACGAAAGCUAGGGGAGCGAAUGGGAUUAGAUAC
rnacentral:rRNA from 1 species